AGAGUUUGAUUCUGGCUCAGGAUGAACGCUGGCGGCGUGCUUAACACAUGCAAGUCGAACGAAGAUAUUUAGAAUGAGAGCUUCGGCAGGAUUUUUAUCUAUCUUAGUGGCGGACGGGUGAGUAACGUGUGGGCAACCUGCCCUGUACUGUGGAAUAAUCAUUGGAAACGAUGACUAAUACCGCAUGUGGUCCUCGGAAGGCAUCUUCUGAGGAAGAAAGGAUUUAUUCGGUACAGGAUGGGCCCGCAUCUGAUUAGCUAGUUGGUGAGGUAACAGCCCACCAAGGCGAUGAUCAGUAGCCGACCUGAGAGGGUGAUCGGCCACACUGGGACUGAGACACGGCCCAAACUCCUACGGGAGGCAGCAGUGGGGAAUAUUGCACAAUGGGCGAAAGCCUGAUGCAGCAACGCCGCGUGAAGGAUGAAGGGUUUCGGCUCGUAAACUUCUAUCAAUAGGGAAGAAACAAAUGACGGUACCUAAAUAAGAAGCCCCGGCUAACUACGUGCCAGCAGCCGCGGUAAUACGUAGGGGGCAAGCGUUAUCCGGAAUUACUGGGUGUAAAGGGAGCGUAGGCGGCAUGGUAAGCCAGAUGUGAAAGCCUUGGGCUUAACCCGAGGAUUGCAUUUGGAACUAUCAAGCUAGAGUACAGGAGAGGAAAGCGGAAUUCCUAGUGUAGCGGUGAAAUGCGUAGAUAUUAGGAAGAACACCAGUGGCGAAGGCGGCUUUCUGGACUGAAACUGACGCUGAGGCUCGAAAGCGUGGGGAGCAAACAGGAUUAGAUACCCUGGUAGUCCACGCCGUAAACG
rnacentral:rRNA from 1 species